rnacentral:rRNA from 1 species
GACGAACGCUGGCGGCGUGCCUAAUACAUGCAAGUAGAACGAGUUGCGAACGGGUGAGUAACGCGUGGUAACCUGCCUCAUAGCGGGGGCUAACUAUUGGAAACGAUAGCUAAUACCGCAUACUGUGAGAUGGACCUGCGUUGUAUUAGCUAGUAGGUGGGGUAACGGCUCACCUAAGCGACGAGCCCUAGCUGGUCUGAGAGGAUGACCAGCCACACUGGAACUGAGACACGGUCCAGACUCCUACGGGAGGCAGCAGUGGUGAAUAUUGCACAAUGGGCGCAAGCCUUAUGGAGCAAUGCCGAGUGUAUGAAGAAGGCCUUCGGGUUGUAAAGUACUUUCAGCGAGGAGGCGUUACUCGCAGAAGAAGCACCGGCUAACUCCGUGCCAGCAGCCGCGGUAAUAC